AAGGGUAGUUGUGCAUAUUGGUCCAAGACAGAUCAGAGUGGGAAAAAAAGAAAGAGAAAGGAAAGUUCUCUUCAAGAGCUGCAAAUGAUCAAAAUCCAAGGGCCGCUCACCAAAUUAGAGAAGUUGAAGAUGUUUUUGGUCAAAGUAAUACAAAAACAAUGUGAUAUGAGGCGUCAAUGGUAGCUUUUGAUUUGGCACAGGGUUAACUUUUUCUCUCUUCAAGAUCUGAAUUUUGGGUACAAGAAUUCUGCUUUCAGGGAACAGAGGAAGUGGACCAAUCCCUUACUAAAGAGAUGCUCACUUUACGGUAAAAGCUGAAUAUUUCUUGUUGGUUGCUGUCAGAAUGGUUGACGGUUGUUGAAUUACUAUCUGAGUGAAGUUCAUCAAAAUUAAGUGGUUGGGAAACCUUUUCUCUCUUCAACAUUUGGUACUUAUUUGGAUGCAAGUGGAUGCCAUGUAUUGGCUCACCAAUUUGCAACACCUAUUCAUUCAUAACUGCCUCAAGUUAAAUGAUAGAAGUGCUGAGAGUAUCAGCCAAUUCUGGUCCAAUGACAGGGAAUGGAUUAAAGAGGAAGCUGUUUGAAGUUAACACAUAUAUUAUUACAACAAUGCCAAAUUCUAUUAUAUUCAGUUGGAAGAACAAUUAAUUAAUUUAUGAUUGAACAAAGCUGAUGAAUGUGCUCCCAUACAAUGCCUCACUGCAUUAUUACAUCAUCAAGAUGAAGUUUAUGUGAUAUCAGGAAAUGUUGGUGGAAGACGUGGUAGUAUUUCAACCUAGGUCCUCUAAUGCGUGAACAGGAUUCUUCACCAUUCUAAAGCCCUGUUCAAUCAGCCAAACUUUGACACCUAGGUGCAUUCUUAGUUUGAGGCGUCAUAUUUUUGAGCUGUGCAGAUGAGCUCUCAAUGGAAGCUUCUGAUUUGGUGCAUGAUUAAAUUUUUUUCUCUCUCUUCAAGAGCUGAAUUUUGGGUACAAGAAUGCUACUUUUGGGCAGCAAAGGAAGAGAUCUAAUCCCUUACUAAAGAGAUGCUCUCCGGUGUUAUUCAGAGUGGUCGAUAAUUUGCCAGAAGUUAUUACCAUGUUAUGCUCACUUUACAGUAAAAGCUGGAUAUUUUUUAUUGGUUGCUGCCAGAAUGGUUAAUGAUUGCUCCUGGUCUAAUGGAGUGUUGAUUUGAGUGUUAUCUGGUUGAAGUUCAUCAAAAAUUGAGUGGUUGGGCAACCUUUUCUCUCUUCAACACUUUGUACUUAUUUGGACGCAAGAACUUUUUUUAUCUGGCCUAAAGUGGAUGCCAUGUAACAGCUCACCAAAUUGCAACACCUAUUCAUUCAUAACUGCCUCAAGAUAAAUGAUAGAAGUGCUGAGAGUUAUUGACCAAUUCUGGUCCAAUGACGAGGAAUGAAUUAAAGAGGAAGCUGUUUGAAGUUCACACAUAUAUUAUCACAACAAUGUGUGGUCAGUUAUCUCAAACUUAAUCCUC